UACGAGGGGAGCAAGCGUUGUUCGGAUUUACUGGGCGUAAAGGGCGCGUAGGCGGUCGUGACAAGUCACUUGUGAAAUCUCCGGGCUUAACUCGGAACGGUCAAGUGAUACUGUCGGACUAGAGUACAGAAGGGGCAACUGGAAUUCUCGGUGUAGCGGUGAAAUGCGUAGAUAUCGAGAGGAACACCUGCGGCGAAGGCGGGUUGCUGGGCUGACACUGACGCUGAGGCGCGAAAGCUAGGGGAGCGAACGGG
rnacentral:rRNA from 1 species